rnacentral:rRNA from 1 species
UACAGAGGUCCCAAGCGUUGUUCGGAUUCACUGGGCGUAAAGGGUGCGCAGGUGGGCUGUCAAGUUUGAUGUGAAAGCCCCGGGCUUAACCCGGGAAUGGCAUUGAAUACUGAUGGUCUGGAGGAUUGGAGGGGGGACUGGAAUUCUUGGUGUAGCAGUGAAAUGCGUAGAUAUCAAGAGGAACACCAGUGGCGAAGGCGAGUCCCUGGACAAUUCCUGACACUGAGGCACGAAAGCCAAGGGAGCAAACAGG